CUUCCUAUACUUGAUACACAUCAAGUCUCUAACAGUUCUCAAUAUGGCACGCUGAGUGGUUUCCCACAAACAACCAACAAACUAGGUUCCGAGUUGCUAGUUCGUAUAUACCUCCGCUCUAUGAAGGAAUCGUUUAGCCCAGAUACCAUACAUCAACUAGUAUCGAGUACAAUGGUACCAUACUUAAACCUAACUUUUUGACCCUGCGAGAUUCUUCAACUAACUCUAUGUGGGUUAGUACUUAUCAUAAUCACUGCGGUUAUUGGUCUCAGGUAUUGCUACCUAAACUUCAUAACCAACAGCUCUGAUACCAACUGUAGCGGCCCCAAAUCCGGGUCCCGAAUCGCCGCGGAUCCGGUUCGCUAUUUCUACAACUGUUUGCGGAAGAUAUAAACAUAGAUUGUUUAUACAUUAAAC
rnacentral:lncRNA from 1 species